rnacentral:rRNA from 1 species
UGGGGAAUAUUGGACAAUGGGCGCAAGCCUGAUCCAGCCAUGCCGCGUGAGUGAUGAAGGCCCUAGGGUUGUAAAGCUCUUUCACCGGUGAAGAUAAUGACGGUAACCGGAGAAGAAGCCCCGGCUAACUUCGUGCCAGCAGCCGCGGUAAUACGAAGGGGGCUAGCGUUGUUCGGAUUUACUGGGCGUAAAGCGCACGUAGGCGGACUUUUAAGUCAGGGGUGAAAUCCCGGGGCUCAACCCCGGAACUGCCUUUGAUACUGGAAGUCUUGAGUAUGGUAGAGGUGAGUGGAAUUCCGAGUGUAGAGGUGAAAUUCGUAGAUAUUCGGAGGAACACCAGUGGCGAAGGCGGCUCACUGGACCAUUACUGACGCUGAGGUGCGAAAGCGUGGGGAGCAAACAGGAUUAGAUACCCCGGUAGUCC